GUAGGUGAACCUGCGGAAGGAUCAUUAUUGAAAUAAUCCUGAUAGGUUGUUGCUUGUUCUCUCGGGAGCAUGUGCACACUUGUCAUCUUUAUAUCUCCACCUGUGCACCUUUUGUAAAUCUGAAUAUCUUUCUGAAUGUCUCGCAUAUUCAGGUUUGAGGAUUGAUCUUUUUCUUUCCUUACAUUUUCAGGUUUAUGUUUUUCAUAUACCCCAAGUAUGUUAUAGAAUGUUAUAAACGGGCCCUUUGUGC
rnacentral:misc_RNA from 1 species